UACAGAGGUCCCAAGCGUUGUUCGGAUUCAUUGGGCGUAAAGGGUGCGUAGGCGGCGCGGUAAGUCGGGUGUGAAAUCUCGGGGCUUAACUCCGAAACUGCAUUCGAUACUGCCGUGCUUGAGGACUGGAGGGGAGACUGGAAUUUACGGUGUAGCGGUGAAAUGCGUAGAUAUCGUAAGGAAGACCAGUGGCGAAGGCGGGUCUCUGGACAGUUCCUGACGCUGAGGCACGAAGGCCAGGGGAGCAAACGGG
rnacentral:rRNA from 1 species